rnacentral:lncRNA from 1 species
CACACGGCGAGGCUCAAAGGAUAUGUCUGCUGAGCUCAAGCAGCGAGCAGCUUGGAGAGCCAAGGCCAUGAUGAGAUGGCAUUUCAGUGAAUGGACUCCCCAGAAACUCCGAAAAGAGAAAAGGUCCUGGCUGGUGAGGUGCUUCUGAGGACAGCUGGCUUGACCCGUCUCUGUUCCACCUUCUCUACCCCAAGCGACGCACCGCUGCAGCCCAGCGGUCCGCUCAGUGCUUCAUAAUCAUCAAAACAAUGCCGGGGAAUGAGGAGGAAGGCUGGGGAUGGGGGGACCUCUGCUCAGGUUUUCCCUGAGAGACUUCCAGGAGUCUUCCAGACCUCUGAACAGAAAACUGAUUUAAUUAGAAGCAAAAUCCUGACGAGGAGGCUUCUGGUGGCUGUGUGGGAAGAUGAGCUGGAGCUGGGCAGGCUGGGGAGUAGUGGGCGGAUAAACACAGUUCUCUUCCCUCCGAGUUGUUACUUCUGGAAGAAUCCUUUCGAGGGAUUGAUUUUGUGUUGAAUCGCAGUUUGUUGCCUGAGGUCGGGAAGACAUUUCUCUUUUCCAAAUUAGGUAAACUGUGACCGCGGAGCCUUUCCUUUGAAACAGUUCUGGGAAGUUUCUCUGUGACAUUUGAAAGACAGUGCAUCUCUCCUUCAGAGCCAUCCUUACGAGGUCACAAAGCAGCCCGGAUGGAGAAGAGGGAGGAUUUCAGGAGGGUGAUCCCGGGGGACAGCCAGCAGUUCAAUUUUGAAGCGGAUAAUUUUCCUCUUCCCUUUCUGAUCCAUUUCCUCCCCACCCCACCUUCAGCUCCUAAUGAAAACAUGCCCUCAACCAGGCUUUGAUUUGCCCCCAUUUUUAUAUCUCUGCCUGACCUGUCCUUGUGUCCUUCCGUAGUAGACAGAACUCUGAGAUGUUCCUGCAAGAUUCCCACUCUCUGGUCUACACUCGCCGUAUAAUCCCCUCCAAUGUGGGUGGGAUGGUAAAUAUACGGAAUUUAACUCCUGUGGAUUAGGCAUCAUUAUACGAAAAAGAUGAAGGUCCCCAAAAGGUUGACUUUGAGUUACUCGAAAGGGAGAUUUCCUGGGUGGGCCUGACCUAUAGGUGAGCCCUGAAAAUGGGUUGGGCCCUUUCCGAAGGGGGUGAUCAGAAGGAACAAAUUUACCUGCUGGUUUUGAAAAAACAAACUGCCCUGUUUUGGAGAGGGACACACAGCAGAAAUCACAGGCAGCCUCGAGCAUCUGAGAGCAGCCCCCGGAUGAGAGCCACCAAGGAAAGAGAGAGCCGAGUCCUACGACCACAACUUGUUAUAUUCUGCCAAGAACCACACAAGCUUGGAAGAAGACCCGAAGCCUCAGCUGAGAACACAGCCGGCUGACACCUUGAUGUCAGCCUGAUGAGACCCUACGCAGGGAACUUGACCAGAC